AACGUAGGAGACAAACGUUAUCCGGAGUUACUGGGCGUAAAGGGCGCGUAGGCGGCCUCUGCAAGUCGACUGUGAAAUCUCCGGGCUUAACCCGGAAAGGUCAGCCGAUACUGCAGGGCUAGAGUGCAGAAGGGGCAACUGGAAUUCUCGGUGUAGCGGUGAAAUGCGUAGAUAUCGAGAGGAACACCUGCGGCGAAGGCGGGUUGCUGGGCUGACACUGACGCUGACAGCGCGAAAGCUAGGGGAGCGAACGGG
rnacentral:rRNA from 1 species